rnacentral:rRNA from 1 species
GACGAACGCUGGCGGCGUGCUUAACACAUGCAAGUCGAACGGAAAGGCCCUGCUUUUGUGGGGUGCUCGAGUGGCGAACGGGUGAGUAACACGUGAGUAACCUUCCCUUGACUUUGGGAUAACUUCAGGAAACUGGGGCUAAUACCGGAUAUGAGCUCCUGCUGCAUGGUGGGGGUUGGUAAGUUUCGGCGGUUGGGGAUGGACUCGCGGCUUAUCAGCUUGUUGGUGGGGUAGUGGCUUACCAAGGCUUUGACGGGUAGCCGGCCUGAGAGGGUGACCGGCCACAAUGGGACUGAGAUACGGCCCAGACUGCUACGGGAGGCAGCAGUGGGGAAUAUUGCACAAUGGGCGGAAGCCUGAUGCAGCAACGCCGCGUGCGGGAUGACGGCCUUCGGGUUGUAAACCGAUUUAGCAUGUGACGAAGCGUGAGUGACGGUAAUGGGUAAAGAAGCACCGGCUAACUACGUG